GGGUCCGUAGCUCAGCUAGGUAGAGCGUCUGGCUUUUAACCAGGCGGUCAGGGGUUCAAACCCCCUCGGACCCG
rfam:Acidiplasma cupricumulans strain BH2 Contig109, whole genome shotgun sequence.